AGCAGGAGGCAUCGCCCUGCCCGGUCCCUGAGGACCUUCCAGCCCUCCCAGGGCAGGAGGUGGAGGAUCCCUGUCCCAGCACCAGCAGCUCGGCCCAUUCCCCAUGGGACAGCCGCAGCGCCUGGGACUCGGGCAGCAGCGAGGCCGAUGGACGCUUCUGCUUUGUUCCAGGGACCACCAGGGACUCAGAGGACGAGGAGGAGGAGGAUCGGGUGGACGUGGUCACAGAGGAGGCUGCUCUCAAAAACAUCCGAGAGCAGCUCCAGGGCUGAGAAAAGGAGCUCAAUGAGGAGCUUCCCGAUGACUCUCCACCCAGUGCUGUCCUGGCCAACUCCGUGACUGCUGUGGGCAACCUCAGCUUCACGUCCAUGUUGGUGCCAGUCCCACCCCUGCACUGCACAGUCUAAAACCGGCUCCUCUCUCUUGCCAGCACCAUGAAACCUGCCCUUGAGCCAGACCUAGAGACCCACCUCCUUCGAGCUGCCCUGCAUGCAGUCUUCACCAUGGGCACAGAGAAGGACACCAGCCAAGUCCAGGAUCUGCAUAGGGUCUUGCCAGACCUCCUGGAUGCCAUGCUGGGGAACCUGCUGGCAGAGUCCCCACACACCAACAGGCUCCACUACACCUUAGAGCACAUUAACUACUGGAUCCUGGUGUUGCGAGAGAGAGCC